CCUACGGGAGGCAGCAGUGGGGAAUAUUGGUCAAUGGACGCAAGCCUGACCCAGCAAUGCCGCGUGAAGGAAGAAGGCUUUCUGGUUGUAAACUUCUUUUACAGGGGAAGAACAGAAGACGGUACCCUGAUAACAAGCCACGUCUAACGAAGUGCCAGCAGCCGCGGUAAUACGUAGGGGGCAGGCGUUGUCCGGAUUUACUGGGUGUAAAGGGCGUGUAGGCGGGAAGGCAAGUCAGAUGUGAAGUCUGGAGGCUCAACCUCGAAAUUGCAUUUGAAACUGUUCUUCUUGAGUAUUGGGGCGGCAGACGGAAUGCAUGGUGUAGCGGUGAAAUGCGUAGAUAUAA
rnacentral:rRNA from 1 species